UGGGGAAUAUUGGACAAUGGGGGAAACCCUGAUCCAGCAAUACCGCGUGGAGGAAGAAGGCCCUUGGGUUGUAAACUCCUGUCAUAGGUGAAGAAAAUUUGUGAAUGAACAAUUUACAGAAUUGACGGUAUCCUAAGAGGAAGCACCGGCUAACUCCGUGCCAGCAGCCGCGGUAAUACGGAGGGUGCAAGCGUUGUUCGGAAUUACUGGGCGUAAAGCGUGUCUAGGUGGGAAUGUAAGUCAGGUGUGAAAGACCAAGGCUCAACUUUGGAACUGCGCCUGAAACUAUGUUUCUUGAGUUGUGGAGAGGUGGGCGGAAUUCCUGGUGUAGCAGUGAAAUGCGUAGAUAUCAGGAAGAACAUCGGAGGCGAAGGCGGCUCACUGGCCACAUACUGACACUAAAGCACGAAAGCGUGGGUAGCAAACAGGAUUAGAUACCCCGGUAGUCCCUGAGCGGGCUGGCAAG
rnacentral:rRNA from 1 species